AGUGAACGCUGGCGGUAGGCCUAACACAUGCAAGUCGAACGGCAGCACAGUAAGAGCUUGCUCUUACGGGUGGCGAGUGGCGGACGGGUGAGGAAUACAUCGGAAUCUACUUUUUCGUGGGGGAUAACGUAGGGAAACUUACGCUAAUACCGCAUACGACCUACGGGUGAAAGCAGGGGAUCUUCGGACCUUGCGCGAUUGAAUGAGCCGAUGUCGGAUUAGCUAGUUGGCGGGGUAAAGGCCCACCAAGGCGACGAUCCGUAGCUGGUCUGAGAGGAUGAUCAGCCACACUGGAACUGAGACACGGUCCAGACUCCUACGGGAGGCAGCAGUGGGGAAUAUUGGACAAUGGGGGGAAGCCUGCUCCAGCCAUACCGCGUGGGUGAAGAAGGCCUUCGGGUUGUAAAGACCUUUUGUUGGGAAAGAAAAGCAGCAGGUUAAUACCCCGCUGUUCUGACGGUACCCAAAGAAUAAGCACCGGCUAACUUCGUG
rnacentral:rRNA from 1 species